rnacentral:rRNA from 1 species
UACGUAGGGUGCGAGCGUUGUCCGGAAUUAUUGGGCGUAAAGGGCUCGUAGGCGGUUUGUCGCGUCGGGAGUGAAAUCCACUGGCUUAACUGGUGGCUUGCUUUCGAUACGGGCAGACUGGAGGUAUGCAGGGGAGAACGGAAUUCCUGGUGUAGCGGUGAAAUGCGUAGAGAUCAGGAAGAACACCCGUGGCGAAGGCGGCCCACUGGGCCGGUGCUGACGCUGAGGCGCGAAGGCGUGGGGAGCGAACGGG